GUGCUGCAACAUGGCCUCCUCCUCCUUCCCCUCGCGUCCCGCGGCACGGGGCGGUAGGGACCAGAACUAUGAGGCCCCUGAGGGUGGGGGAUGGAAUAAGCUGUUUCAGGAGCUGUGUGAGCUGUCCUGCACACUGAAGACCUUCUAAGCUAAGAAAAUUCUGUAAGCUGAAUUUUUCUUUUCAGUUUUAUUUGCAGGCUAAUUUCUUCUGGAGAAUUGGGCUAUAUUUUUAUAUAUAAAUUCAAUGAUCGUGAUUUCUUGCCUAUAAGAAAUAUAAAAUAUCAACUGCAGAGCCACAAGCAUUUUGCAGGACUCAGUCUUUAAGUAAAACCACAAAAAAUUACAGUUUAAAUGCCUCCUCAGAGCUGUUGCUUUUUUAAAUCUGAUUUUGUGAUCCCAAUUCACUACUUUGCCUCCUGAAUGUCUAUUCAGAGCAGGACUGGAUGUUUAAUUUUACACUGAAAUUAAUGAAGUCUGGAUGACUUUCUACCCUUCCACUACAGUGUCCUUGAGUACAAACCUUUUUGUUUACUCCCUGACAGAAAAGGGAGAGUAAAAAAUUUCAACACAAUUUAUACAAAUAUUGUGCUGUUUUUCUUGUUUUUGACUAUAUUUCAGGACUGUUCCUUUGUGUAUUUAUGCUUUCUAUUGGAUUGUAAUGCCUGAUGAAUUAUUCUUCGGAACAGGCAUGUUUUCCUGCAUUAGAGCCAGAAAUCAGUAGCACUGCUGUGACUGUGAGUCAGAGUCUUCCUGGAAGACUCAUUGCAAGAUGGAAAAAACUGA
rnacentral:lncRNA from 1 species